rnacentral:tRNA from 1 species
AGCCCUGUAGUGUAAAAAGCACAUUAAAUUGCAAGUUUGAGGGCGUAGAAUAACUUUCUGCCGGGGCUU